UACGGAGGGAGCUAGCGUUGUUCGGAAUUACUGGGCGUAAAGCGCGCGUAGGCGGCUUUGUAAGUUAGAGGUGAAAGCCCGGGGCUCAACCCCGGAAUUGCCUUUAAGACUGCAUCGCUUGAAUCCGGGAGAGGUGAGUGGAAUUCCGAGUGUAGAGGUGAAAUUCGUAGAUAUUCGGAAGAACACCAGUGGCGAAGGCGGCUCACUGGACCGGCAUUGACGCUGAGGUGCGAAAGCGUGGGGGCAAACAGG
rnacentral:rRNA from 1 species